rnacentral:rRNA from 1 species
AUUGAACGCUGGCGGCAGGCCUAACACAUGCAAGUCGAACGGUAACAGGAAACAGCUUGCUGUUUCGCUGACGAGUGGCGGACGGGUGAGUAAUGUCUGGGAAACUGCCUGAUGGAGGGGGAUAACUACUGGAAACGGUAGCUAAUACCGCAUAACGUCGCAAGACCAAAGAGGGGGACCUUCGGGCCUCUUGCCAUCGGAUGUGCCCAGAUGGGAUUAGCUAGUAGGUUGGGUAACGGCUCACCUAGGCGACGAUCCCUAGCUGGUCUGAGAGGAUGACAAGCCACACUGGAACUGAGACACGGACCAGACUCCUACGGGAGGCAGCAGUGGGGAAGAUUGCACAAUGGGCGAAAGCCUGAUGCAGCAAUGCCGCGUGUAUGAAGAAGGCCUUCGGGUUGUAAAGUACUUUCAGCGGGGAGGAAGGGAGUAAAGUUAAUACCUUUGCUCAUUGACGUUACCCGCAGAAGAAGCACCGGCUAACUCCGUG